rnacentral:rRNA from 1 species
CUUGAUAACCCAUAAGAGGUCCAGCCUGCCCAGUGACAAAGUUAAACGGCCGCGGUACCCUAACCGUGCAAAGGUAGCGCAAUCACUUGUUCUUUAAAUGAGGACCGGUAUGAACGGCAUCACGAGGGUUAUACUGUCUCCCCACUCAACUCAGUGAAACUGAUCUUCCCGUGAAGAAGCGGGAAUAAAAAUAUAAGACGAGAAGACCCCAUGGAGCUUAAAACUCAGAAUCAACUGCCACAUUUACAACCUCAUAACCACGCAGCCAUGACCUCUAGUUUUCGGUUGGGGUGACCGCGGAGUAAAACACAACCUCCAUGAUGAAAGGAACUAAUACCCUAAUCUAAGGGCGACAGCCCUAAGAAUUAAUACAUUAACCCAAUUGAUCCAAUCACUUGAUCAACGAACCA